GCCAGGCAUGGUAGCUCAUGCCUGUACUCCCAGCAGCUCAGGAGACUGAGGCAAGAGGAUCACGAGUUCAAAACCAGCCUCAGCAAUUUUGUGAGGCCCUAAGUAACUCAGUGAGAUCCUGUCUCUA
rnacentral:sRNA from 1 species